AAUUUCUUUGCUACUUUUUCACUAUGUUUCAUUCAUGUGAGAGGCAAGAGAAGGUGCCCAGUCCAUGUGUCCCACUUGUCUGGAAGAACGUUUGGAGUCUGGCAGUCUGGUUGUUUUCGUAGCUCCAGAGGAUUUUUAGGAGCAUGGGGAGCAUGGGAUGCAUCAACCUGUGGACCACAAAACCCUCUGGAGAAUGUUGGCUGUGGAUAAAAGCAUCUGGAAGUUUCUACCAUCUUUUUACCCUGUUUUUUCCCGGGUUACCCUGUGUCAUUUGUGGCCCUGUCCUGAGGAUUAUGGCAAACAGUCACUUACUGGAAUUCCUCCUCAUGUAUCUUCUUGAAAUGGAGCCACUGCUUUACCCAGCUGGAAGAUAUUUUCUCCCAGAGCUCUUCCAGUGCAGCAGCAGCACUCCUGUCCAGCAGAGCUGUGCCAAAGUGUCUGAUGAAACAUGGAUCUUGGCCGGCAAGAGCUGCAGUUCCUCUUCUUUUGAAAGAAGCUGGGAAAGGCUCCCCAAAACAACCAGUGGAGAGAGUGUCCAGAUGAAAGAUCUGGAUGAUUGGUGUGCCCUGUCCUUGUUGUCAACUGCUUUGCCAGGAAGAUUAAUGGCAGACGAGAAAAUGUGAGAUUUAUCUGGAAAGUAUGACUGACAGGAGCAGCUUACUCACCAUUAGAUAAGUAUUGCAGAUGACUCAUGCUGGAGUAUUGAUAGCUGCUGCUGAGAUGGAUGUCCUGUUUUAUAACAGCUGUAGUGUGAUGCCAAGAGCCAGGAACCUUAAUUUCACUAUCCAUGCUUUUCCAUGAGUGUGCUUUGGGUCUCUGGCACCUUUUCUCCUUGGUUUGUCCAUCUAAAGGGUUCACAGGGAGGGGAGGUUUUGCUUCCCUCAGUGGGGUGCAGGGUAUGGGGCAGCUCAUGCCACCUUGAAAUGAAAGCUAGUGUUGAAAGGCUGCAGCUUUUAUAGCUGUUCUCCAGGACAUGCAAUAUUUGUCUUUUUAAUAGAUGCCAUUAGUGACUUUCCUCGAUUCUUUGCGUUUUUUUUGUUUUGUUUGUGUUUUUUCAGAGCCAUUAUACCCCUUCUUCAGCAGAACUAACCAGAAGGUGUAGAAACAG
rnacentral:lncRNA from 1 species